CCUACGGGGGGCUGCAGUGGGGAAUAUUGGACAAUGGGGGGAACCCUGAUCCAACCAUGCCGCGUGUGUGAAGAAGGCCCUCGGGUUGUAAAGCACUUUCAGUGAGGAAGAACGCCUGGUGGUUAAUACCCAUCAGGAAAGACAUCACUCACAGAAGAAGCACCGGCUAACUCCGUGCCAGCAGCCGCGGUAAUACGGAGGGUGCGAGCGUUAAUCGGAAUUACUGGGCGUAAAGCGCGCGUAGGUGGCUUGAUAAGCCGGUUGUGAAAGCCCCGGGCUCAACCUGGGAACGGCAUCCGGAACUGUCAAGCUAGAGUGCAGGAGAGGAAGGUAGAAUUCCCGGUGUAGCGGUGAAAUGCGUAGAGAUCGGGAGGAAUACCAGUGGCGAAGGCGGCCUUCUGGACUGACACUGACACUGAGGUGCGAAAGCGUGGGUAGCAAACAGGAUUAGAUACCCUAGUAGUC
rnacentral:rRNA from 1 species